UCCCCUGGUACAGCAAGACAGGAACAAUACUGUGAUAGCGUGGGGAAUGUGCCCCUGUCAGGACAAGAAUUUUUCUUUGUUUUAUGAGCAUCAUUUAUGACCCUGACCUUCAAUGCAGGGAAAAGUAUCAAUUUUAUGGUAGUGGUGAAUGCUUUUGGGAAGUAGUAAGAGGCCAAUCAAGGUCUCAGCAGAUGUUUCCACUGUGGUAGAAUAGAAGGGUUGCUACUAGCAGAAUCACUGAUUUUUAUGUGAACCCUUCUCAGCUGCUGAUAAAGAAGGGGAGACAAGGCAAACAUGAGAAAAUUUCAACUAGAUGAUGAAGAAAAAUGAUAGCACUCCAAUGCUGUAAAAGUAAAGAGGCUUUUAACAAUUUCAGAAUGGAAAGAGAAGGGAAUCCUAAAGAGAUGUUAGAGAUGAUCAAUUCAGACUUCUCACCAUUUGCCUGUCAUCCAUCUGUCCUGGUCCCCAGAGCGUGCUGUUUCUUAUUGAUGGAAUUUACAUGCACCUACACAAAUAUGCAGAUAAGGGAAAAUCAAAGGAUUUUGCCUUGCACGUUAACAGAAGGUACAAAGGUCUGCCAAAGGCUCAUUAAUCCAUGGCUGAUCCUGAGGUUUCCAACUUAUCCUCUGUUGCUUUGUCAUAUGAAGCCUUACACAGGGCACUUGGAGUGCAGAAGGAGUAUGCCCUGAAUGCCAGCCAAAUGAAAGAAGACAGCUGAGGGGAAUUCCAGCUGUUAUGGGGAAUGAUGCUGCAGAAGGACUGCUUAGUUUGGAGCAUUUCUAUUCCAGUGGUGCAAUGACAAGUAAAUCAACAGGUUUCAACAAUCUGUAUUUGUUAGUCUAGCCCAGCAGUGACAGGGAAAUGUCCAUCAUGAGUAGAAAAGUUCCAGAUAUGUUUCAUUUGAUGAAUCCAUAGUUAUUGCCCACUUGUUUCACCCUGCUGUGCUUCAAAAUGAGAGUCACUGAAAUUAUGUAACAAAACAGCUUAAUCAGAAUUUUAAAGAAAAAAAGUGGAAUAGUUUAAAGCUUGUAAAGUAUACGAGGUAUGAGGAUAUUCUCUAAACUACCUUUGUACACUCUGGUAAAGUUUCUUACUUUUCAGAGCUGCAGUGGUAUGAGGACACUAAUGGAGCAGGUUCUGUGUUAUGACUAAGAGGAAAAGAGGCUGAAAAUUCUCCUCCUGUGAUGCAGGUGAAAGUGUUACAAUACAAGCUGCAGUAAAGGACAAGACUAGAGAUAAAUGCACUGUUUGAGAGAGAAGGCAAGGCAUUAUAAAAACAUCCUGAACCACCUAGUGAUGUAUUUGUUCAGCAGAGCUUUUAAAAAGUGCACUAAUGGCCCAUUUUAUAUAUCACCCCAAGUCAAUGAAAAACGCCCAUUGACUUAAAUAGGCAUUGGUCCAAAUGCUGAGCUUUUACAAAUAAUUAUACUCAGUGUACUGAAGUUACCAGUAUUUCUCUUCAGGCUGAAUGCUGCUUCCUCCACUGUGUGCCCUGACUUCAAUAAAUAAACAAACUUUCCCCUUUUCCUACUUACAUGAAACCAUGGUGCUUCCACCACUACUCCCAAACCACCUGGUAGAUGUUGAAGUUUUUUAGAUUGAAGCAGUAGUCUGACCCAGAAAACGCUGCUGGGUGGGAAAACCACAUGUAAAAUAUGUCUUUGUUGCAUAUAAUCUUACUGGAGCACAGUUGGUGGCUUUGGAAACCAUGGGACUUUAGACUCUGUGUUUUCAUUUCUUGCUCUUAGGCUGUUGUGUUAUUUGUCCUCAAAACUGUCCUAAUCCACACUUUCCAAGGAAUUUCUUUUAA